rnacentral:rRNA from 1 species
ACCCCCGUUACCAUGCAGUCGAGCGGAACGAUGAUAGCUAUGCUAUCAGGCGUCGAGCGGCGGACGGGUGAGUAAUGCUUAGGAAUCUGCCCAGUAGUGGGGGACAACAGUCGGAAACGGCUGCUAAUACCGCAUACGCCCUACGGGGGAAAGCAGGGGAUCUUCGGACCUUGCGCUAUUGGAUGAGCCUAAGUCGGAUUAGCUAGUUGGUGAGGUAAAGGCUCACCAAGGCCACGAUCCGUAGCUGGUUUGAGAGGAUGAUCAGCCACAUCGGGACUGAGACACGGCCCGAACUCCUACGGGAGGCAGCAGUGGGGAAUAUUGGACAAUGGGGGCAACCCUGAUCCAGCCAUGCCGCGUGUGUGAAGAAGGCUUUCGGGUUGUAAAGCACUUUCAGCGAGGAGGAAGGCUCUAAAGUUAAUACCUUUAGGGAUUGACGUUACUCGCAGAAGAAGCACCGGCUAACUCCGUGCCAGCAGCCGCGGUAAUACGGAGGGUGCAAGCGUUAAUCGGAAUUACUGGGCGUAAAGCGCGCGUAGGUGGUUGAGUAAGCGAGAUGUGAAAGCCCCGGGCUUAACCUGGGAACGGCAUUUCGAACUGCUCGGCUAGAGUGUGGUAGAGGGUAGUGGAAUUUCCUGUGUAGCGGUGAAAUGCGUAGAUAUAGGAAGGAACACCAGUGGCGAAAGCGGCUACUGGACCAACACUGACACUGAGUGCGAAAGCGUGGGGAGCAAACAGGAUUAGAUACCCUGGUAGUCACGCCGUAACGAUGUCACUAGCCGUGGGGAUCUGAAUCCUUAGUGGCGCAGCUACGCACUAAGUGACGGCUGGGGAGUACGCGCAAGUAAACUCAAAUGAUGACGGGCCGACCAAGCGNGGACCAUGGGGUUAGUCGACCACCCGAGACUACUGGCUUGACAUGCAAAAGCUUCGGAAUGGAUGUGCUGGGA